rnacentral:rRNA from 1 species
GAUGAACGCUGGCGGUAUGCUUAACACAUGCAGGUCGAACGGUCACUUCGGUGAUAGUGGCGGACGGGUGAGUAACGCGUGAGAAUCUGUCUUCAGGUCGGGGACAACAGUUAGAAAUGACUGCUAAUACCGGAUGUGCCUUUGGGUGAAAGAUUUAUUGCCUGAAAAAGAGCUCGCGUCAGAUUAGCUAGUAGGUGGUGUAAGAGACUACCUAGGCUCCGAUCUGUAGCUGGUCUGAGAGGACGAUCAGCCACACUGGAACUGAGACACGGUCCAGACUCCUACGGGAGGCAGCAGUGGGGAAUUUUCCGCAAUGGGCGAAAGCCUGACGGAGCAAUACCGCGUGAGGGACGAAGGCUUUUGGGUCGUAAACCUCUUUUCUCAAGGAAGAUGAUGACGGUACUUGAGGAAUAAGCAUCGGCUAACUCUGUG